UACGUAGGCAGCGAGCGUUGUUCGGAAUUACUGGGCGUAAAGAGUGUGUAGGCGGCUCUGUAAGUUCUGUGUGAAAUCUCCCGGCUCAACUGGGAGGGUGCGCCGAAUACUGCAAGGCUUGAGUACUGGAGAGGAUAGCGGAAUUCCUGGUGUAGCGGUGAAAUGCGUAGAUAUCAGGAGGAACACCGGCGGUGUAGACGGCUAUCUGGACAGUAACUGACGCUGAGACACGAAAGCGUGGGGAGCAAACAGG
rnacentral:rRNA from 1 species